ACCAAAUUGAGGUCCACUAAGGCCACGAAUUUGGCCACCUUGGCAAGUCUUCUUGGAGAAGUUUCCUCCCCCACUUGGCAGAUCAUUCAUUGCCUCAAGCUGCACUCAAUAGUAUGGAGGAACCCACCCCAUCAAGCACCAUGCCCCAUAGCUUUUGUCCUUGCCCCCCACUAUCCUUCACUUCAUAUCACAUGUAUACCUCCACUCAAUGAUCAUUAAGGUCCAAAUAAUCCCCCUACAGAAUUCUGGAGUCGUGCAAGACACAUUUACUUCACUUUAAUCAUCUCUUCACCCUGUUCUUAGAGAGAAACCCAAAAGAGCUCUCUCGGACAGAUUUAUGGGUCUUUUUGCGUGGGGAUUUUCAACCCUUUUUCCUCAUGAUCGCACUUGAAGUUUUAUAAGAAACGCGGAGAUCGAGAUCUUGUUACAGG